ensembl:lncRNA
GCAGGCCAGCCCCUAGAGAAGGCUUCCUUACCUGAGAUUUUCCCUUCUGACACUCUCACUGUUUGAGUCUUGCUCUGUUUUCAUUCUUUUUUCUUAGAAACUGUUUAUUUUCCAUCAACCUUACUUCCAUUUUCUGUUGAACAGUCUGUGGAAGGACAGACUAAGACCAUUCAGUGGUUGUACCCACCCGUUUGGUGGCCUGAGCAGUGGCAGUUGCAGACCAAUCAGACUCAGUAGGGAACUGCUGAACAGGCUCAGGGGACACCUGCACCUUCCGACCAGCCGGCGACCUCUGGUUGGGUAGCAGUAAAUUCGGGAGUUGGAGCAGUCCAUUCACCCUGAAAUUCCUCUUGGCCACAGCCAUUUCAGCCGCGGCCUGCUCUUCCUUUUCAAUCUCUUCAGGAUCUCUGAGAAGUAGAGACGAGACGCGACUUCCAAGGGAGUUCAUGGGAUGGCGCCACGCAUGCGCAGAAUUUCCCGGACCACCAUCCAUCAUCUCAGUCCCGCUCAGUGAGCUCCCUGUGGUUGCACGGGAUGACACUGUCCACAUGGCAGAGGAGGGUCUGUGUUAUAUAACAAUGGUUGGCAGGUUAACGUAGGACGCCUCUGUGAGAGGCUGGUGGUCGGCCCUGGGAUCAGUAACCAGCGGAGGUUGGGGCUGCAGGAAGGCCCCCUGGAACUGGUGAGUGAAGUGGCCUCCAAAGGAGUGGUCUACCUGCAGCAGCAAACUUCAGCACAGCUCAUUGGCCGGUAUUCCUGAAGGAAAUGACUUGGACAUCAGCCGGGUUUUCAGUGGCAACAAUGGCGCAAGCUGCUUGCAGAAGCUUUUCCCAGGACCCUCAACCACGCUCUGUGGGGUGGUUGACUCCUCACAGUCCCAGCUGCUUUCCUGUGGAUGCACCCCACUGGCCGAUACGUCUUGUAAAGUGUGGCUUCCACAACUGGACACGAGAUUCCAGUUUAGGAAAACGUAUCACUGGACUCAGGGAGGCAUCGGCGGCGUUCUCUCAGGGCAGCCACUGUCUUCUGAGCGACUCCUGCUUUCUUUCAUGGGACUCUGCAAGGGGCGGGGCACAGGAUGCAGAACUGGAGUGCAAGGAGAGACUGCCUGCAGAAUGAGUGACUGGAGACCUGCUCAUAGUAACAUCCACAAGGAAUUUCAACAGUGAACUAUAUUGAACUGGGGGGAUUGCUCUUCCCAUUCUAAGUUGCCUUCUACUCCUGUUGUGUUUAUAUCACAUAGGCGCAUGAAAUUUAGGACUUGGUAACUUCCAGCUCUCCCUGCAUCAUUUGGCCUGGCAAUGGCUACUAGGUCAGAUCUAACUACUAAGACCUCAAACUCAACCCAAAUCAUAAUCUCCCCAAAUUUUGUGCCUUCUUCCUAUGGUUUUUACAAGGGGCUCUUAAUUAAUGCCAGUGAGGUGUUUGUAAAACCGAGUUCUCUCAUUGCAGACGUGACAAGCCAUAAUUCGUAAUAACGGAGCUACCUUUUCCCACUUGUCUCGGCCUGGAGUGAAGGGGCUCUGCUGUGAUUUAUUACCUCGCUGCAAAACCUUUGAUAAGUGGCCACUAAAUGGCUCCUCAUUACUCAAAACUCUUCCAAUUCCUUAAACUAAAGUCCUCCCCAAACCUCACACAAGCUUCUUGUGUUCAGGGAGAAAUGAAUCAGGGACUUUCUCGCUAAACUAUCUUGGCAUAAAAAAAUAUCAUAAAUGAGAGGGGAGAAAAUCUUGUUUGCUAAAGGGCUGCUGGGUGAACUGCCUCUUGGCCUUUUGAUAGCAUCUUUGAAAUGGAAAUGGCCAGCUGCCUGACCUUCUGUUCAGUGACCCUUUUUGUACAAAGUCAAAUUGCCGCCGCCUCACAGCAGUGAUUCACCUAUGGACACAAACAGGAUUUCUAUUUUUUUUCCAAAUCUUUUUUUUCCUGGUGCAUUUGUUACUGUGAACAUUUUUUUGCUAUUCACAUAAAAGACGUCGUGGUUAAAAAAAAGAAGCCCUUUGCAUCAAAAGGAUUGUAACUCAUAAUGAUUUCAAAAUACUAGGGAAGUGUGUGUCUUUAAUUUUGUUCUCCAUCUGAGCCUUUAAAUGUAUUGUAAUGUGAAAAGGCCAGUGAAAAGACUAUAUUCUGG